rfam:Dipodomys ordii contig_31886, whole genome shotgun sequence.
GGGAGUAUGGCUCAGUGGUAGAGUGCCUGCCUAGCAAGCAUGAAGCCCUAGGUUCGAUUCCUCAGCACCA